rnacentral:rRNA from 1 species
UUUAAAUUGAGAGUUUGAUCCUGGCUCAGGACGAACGCUGGCGGCGUGCUUAACACAUGCAAGUCGAGCGAUGAAAUCUCUUCGGGGAUGGAUUAGCGGCGGACGGGUGAGUAACACGUGGGCAACCUGCCUCAAAGUGGGGGAUAGCCUCCCGAAAGGGAGAUUAAUACCGCAUAAUAUUAGUUUUUCACAUGAAAGAUUAAUUA